CAUCAACAUAUGCAAGAGGGUUUUUUUUUGUGUGUUAUUGCAAAUGUGAGCUGCCAACAGAGAAAACGUCACAUCCAGUUCCUGAGUGAGACAGGGGACCUCCUCAACUGGGGAAGCAGAGGUGCUCCAGGCUUCUGGCCCACACGUCCAAGUUUUGAGAAAAGUGGAGUGUGCCUGAUCACUGGGGCCAAGGCACAGCCAAUUGUUACAGUAUUAACUGCGGCAUUCUGAGGAUUAAAGGUCCCAAAUCUCUUUGACAAGCUACAGAAAAGAAGUAACUAACCUGGCAUGUGAGUUAGAGCCUCUGAGUUCAUCGACUCUAACUCAGCGUUGGAGACUUUAUUGGAAGGUUCCAGAACAAGAUGCUGCCAGACUUGCUGAGUUUCUCCAACACUUUCUGCUUUCUUCCAAAGAAUUGCCCCUGAAUGACUUAGUUUAUUAUUAAGGCUUGAUUCUCCAUAAUGUUUGAAAUGUUCUUUUUCAUUCAUGGUAUUGAUUGCCUUCCUUAAAUGCCCUGGAGAAGAUGGUGGUGACUUGCUUGCUUGAAUGACUGUAGUUUUGGAUUAUUCCUGGUGGAGGGCUUAUGCCCGAAACAUCGAUUCUCCUGCUCCUCGAAUGCUGUCUGACUUGCUGUGC